UCCACGCCCUAAACGAUGCACACUAGUUGUUGCUAUGCUAGACAUAGCAGUAAUGCAGUUAACACAGUAAGUGUGCCGCCUGGGGAGUACGGUCGCAAGAUUAAAACUCAAAGGAAUAGACGGGGACCCGCACAAGCGGUGGAGCAUGUGGUUUAAUUCGACGAUACGCGAAGAACCUUACCUGGCCUUGACAUAGAAAGAACUUUCCAGAGACGGAUUGGUGCUAGUUACUA
rnacentral:rRNA from 1 species